rnacentral:RNase_P_RNA from 2 species
UGAGUCGGUUAGACAGUCGCUCUUAUAAGGGAGGAAAGUCCGGGCUCCAUAGGGCAAAGUGCCAGGUAAUACCUGGGAGGCGUGAGUCUACGGAAAGUGCCACAGAAAAUAUACCGCCUAUUUUUAGGUAAGGGUGAAAUGGUGCGGUAAGAGCGCACCGCGCGUUUGGUAACAAACGUGGCAGGGAAAACCCCACUUGGAGCAAGACCAAAUAGAGAUCUACGUAGCGAUUAAGCUAUAACGUAUGGCCCAUACGAGAUCAGGGUAGGUUGCUUGAGGCAAACGGUGACGUUUGUCCCAGAUAAAUGAUUGUCCACGACAGAACCCGGCUUAUCGACCGACUUAUUAC